AGUCGAACGGCAGCACGGGUGCUUGCACUGGUGGCGAGUGGCGAACGGGUGAGUAAUACAUCGGAACAUGUCCUGUAGUGGGGGAUAGCCCGGCGAAAGCCGGAUUAAUACCGCAUACGAUCUACGGAUGAAAGCGGGGGACCUUCGGGCCUCGCGCUAUAGGGUUGGCCGAUGGCUGAUAGCUAGUUGGUGGGGUAAAGGCCUACCAGGCGACGAUCAGUAGCUGGUCUGAGAGGACGACCAGCCACACUGGGACUGAGACACGGCCCAGACUCUACGGGAGGCAGCAGUGGGGAAUUUUGGACAAUGGGCGAAAGCCUGAUCCAGCAAUGCCGCGUGUGUGAAGAAGGCCUUCGGGUUGUAAAGCACUUUUGUCCGGAAAGAAAUCCUUGGCNCUAAUACGGUCGGGGGAUGACGGUACCGGAAGAAUAAGCACCGGCUAACUACGUGCCAGCAGCCGCGGUAAUACGUAGGGUGCAAGCGUUAAUCGGAAUUACUGGGCGUAAAGCGUGCGCAGGCGGUUUGCUAAGACCGAUGUGAAAUCCCCGGGCUCAACCUGGGAACUGCAUUGGUGACUGGCAGGCUAGAGUAUGGCAGAGGGGGGUAGAAUUCCACGUGUAGCAGUGAAAUGCGUAGAGAUGUGGAGGAAUACCGAUGGCGAAGGCAGCCCCCUGGGCCAAUACUGACGCUCAUGCACGAAAGCGUGGGGAGCAAACAGGAUUAGAUACCCUGGUAGUCCACGCCCUAAACGAUGUCAACUAGUUGUUGGGGAUUCAUUUCCUUAGUAACGUAGCUAACGCGUGAAGUUGACCGCCUGGGGAGUACGGUCGCAAGAUUAAAACUCAAAGGAAUUGACGGGGACCCGCACAAGCGGUGGAUGAUGUGGAUUAAUUCGAUGCAACGCGAAAAACCUUACCUACCCUUGACAUGGUCGGAAUCCUGCUGAGAGGCGGGAGUGCUCGAAAGAGAACCGGCGCACA
rnacentral:rRNA from 1 species